UUCUGUUAUCAAGAAAAUGCUAUAAAUAUCUAUGUAAAUAAUCAAUCAAGCAUGGAAAAAUAUAUUGUCUUUUACUCUUGAAUUCCCUUCUUCCUUAUACUUCUGGAGGUCCUGGCCCUCGAAGCCGGUCUUUAUGCUCUGCCUAACAUCUUUCCCCUGGCUUCCUUCAUUCAUAGGCUUCUAUCAACACAAGUUGGAUGACUUAUCUUGCUAAUUUGCCUAAACCGGGCACUGCUUAUGUUAGCGAGGACAUUCCCAUUGAUGAUGUGGCUGAGGAUGAUGAUGAAGAGCUCCCAAAAGUUGAUAACGUUGAAACUGAGACUUCAAAUUUGUGAAUCGUUGUUGCAAAUUAACAUACUGAAUUGGUAAUGAUCUGCAGCUAACAUUUUAUGCCUAGUGCUUACAAACGAGUGACUCAUGAUGGGCAUUCCCUAGAUUUUGGAUUUUCUUACCCUCUAAUGUUGUAGUUAAGUUUCAUGUAUAUCAACUAACCAUUUUUUUAAAAUAAAAAAGAAAAGUUCAUAGCAA